rnacentral:rRNA from 1 species
AGCGAACGCUGGCGGCAGGCUUAACACAUGCAAGUCGAGCGGGCACUCACGGGUGGCUGCGGCGGACGGGUGGGGAACGCGGGGGGACGGGCCCACAGGUUCGGAAUAACUCAGGGAAACUUGAGCUAAUAGCGGAAAUGACCUUUUGGGGGAAGGCUUGCUGCGGGAGGAUCGGCCCGCGUCUGAUUCGUUGGGUGGUGGGGUAACGGGGCCCCAAGGCGACAAGAGGUAGCUGGACUGUGAGGAUGAGCCGCCACACCGGGACUGGGACACGGCGCGGACUCCUACGGGAGGCAGCAGUGGGGAAUAUUGGACUAUGGGCGCGAGCCUGAUCCAGCCAUGCCGGUUGAGUGAUGAAGGCCUUAGAGUUGUAAAGCUCUUUUAUCCGGGACGAUAAUGACGGUACCGGAGGAAUAAGCCCCGGCUAACUUCGUG